ensembl:lncRNA
CUUCAGUGUGUUAGUAGAACAGGUUAGUGAACUCAGAACCAGCUGGACGAGGGGACUGAGGCUUCAGUGUGUUAGUAGAACAGGUUAGUGAACUCAGGACCAGCUGGACGAGGGGACUGAGGCUUCAGUGUGUUAGUAGAACAGGUUUGUGAACUCAGGACCAGCUGGACGAGGGGACUGAGGCUUCAGUGUGUUAGUAGAACAGGUUUGUGAACUCAGGACCAGCUGGACGAGGGGACUGAGGCUUCAGUGUGUUAGUAGAACAGGUUUGUGAACUCAGCCCCAGGACCAGCUGGAUGAGGGGACU